rnacentral:rRNA from 1 species
GACGAACGCUGGCGGCGUGCUUAACACAUGCAAGUCGAACGGAAAGGCCUGCUUUCCCUUGUGGAUUGCGGGUACUCGAGUGGCGAACGGGUGAGUAACACGUGAGUGAUCUGCCCCCAACUUGGGUAUAAGCCUGGGAAACUGGGUCUAAUUCCCGAUAGGACUGCAGGGUGGUGCCUGUGGUGGAAAACGAUUUUCUAGUGGUUGGGGAUGAGCUCGCGGCCUAUCAGCUUGUUGGUGGGGUAAUGGCCUACCAAGGCGGCGACGGGUAGCCGGCCUGAGAGGGUGGACGGCCACAUUGGGACUGGGAUACGGCCCAGACUCCUACGGGAGGCAGCAGUGGGGAAGAUUGCACAAUGGGCGGGAGCCUGAUGCAGCGACGCCGCGUGGGGGAUGACGGCCUUCGGGUUGUAAACUCCUUUCGACCGCGAGGAAGCCACCUGGUUGGAAGGGUGGUGACGGUAGUGGUAGAAGAAGCACCGGCUAACUACGUG